rnacentral:rRNA from 1 species
GACGAACGCUGGCGGCGUGCUUAACACAUGCAAGUCGAACGGAAAGGCCUCUUUCGGGGGGUACUCGAGUGGCGAACGGGUGAGUAACACGUGAGUAACCUGCCCUUCACUUUGGGUUAACUUCAGUAAACUGGGGCUAAUACCGGCUAGGAGCUCCUGCUGCCUGGUGGGGGCUGGAAAGUUUCGGCGGCUGGGGGUGGACUCGCGGCUUAUCAGCUUGUUGGUGGGGUAGUGGCUUACCAAGGCUUUGACGGGUAGCCGGCCAGAGGGGGUGACAGGCCACAUUGGGACUGAGGUACGGCCCAGACUCCUAAGGGAGGCAGCAGUGGGGAAUAUUGCACAAGGGGUGGAAGCCGGAUGCAGAAACGCCGUGGGCGGGAUGACGGCCUUCGGGUUGUAAACCGCUUUCGCUCAUGACGAAGCUUUGUGUGACGGUAGUGGGUAAAGAAGCACCGGCUAACUACGUG